rnacentral:rRNA from 1 species
UUUUAUUUGAGAGUUUGAUCCUGGCUCAGGAUGAACGCUGGCGGCGUGCCUAACACAUGCAAGUCGAGCGAUUCUCUUCGGAGAAGAGCGGCGGACGGGUGAGUAACGCGUGGGUAACCUGCCCUGUACACACGGAUAACAUACCGAAAGGUAUGCUAAUACGAGAUGAUAUAUGAAAGUUGCAUGACUUUCAUAUCA